UACGUAGGUGGCAAGCGUUGUCCGGAUUUACUGGGCGUAAAGAGCGCGCAGGCGGUCGAAUAAGUCGAAUGUGAAAGCCCCCGGCUUAACUGGGGAGGGUCAUUCGAUACUGUUCGACUUGAAGGCAGGAGAGGGCAGCAGAAUUCCCGGUGUAGUGGUGAAAUGCGUAGAUAUCGGGAGGAAUACCAGUGGCGAAGGCGGCUGCCUGGCCUGUUCUUGACGCUGAGGCGCGAAAGCUGGGGGAGCAAACGGG
rnacentral:rRNA from 1 species